GGAUCUGGGAAUGGUCUUCCAAGGUUUUUUUGCCUUCCCUGGAGUUAUUCCUGAUUUAUGCCGUGGUGUGAAUAUGAAAUAAUUACAGUUUAGGACAGAACCUAUGAAACCUGACCUCUGGUGCUUCUCUAGAUGCAAUCCCUCAACCUCUGAACCCCAAUUGCCUCUGGAUGCAUGUUCUGUUGAGGAGAAAACCCCAAAUCCCAGAGGCUGUCAGUGAUAGAGGUCAGGGAUGGGAGCUGGGUGCUGCUGGUGGAUGGGGGAGGGUGUUAGAAAGCACAAUGUGAAAACGUAAUCUCACCAGUGAGAGGCAAAAUGAAUCAAUGUCACCUUGAGUAAGUAUGGAGAUCAGCCUGGCAGCAUUCCUGAAAUAGCUGUGUGAAGAUCUGACACGGUUAUUCACGGGAGACUUAAAACAGAGUCCAGGACUAUGGGUGUAACCCAACCUCAGGAGCAGAGGGAACUUGAAUGAGAUCAAGGUCAUCUCAGGAGCUGCAAAGGAGAAGGUCACAUCUGGGUCAGAUGUACAGGGCAUCUCAGGUUAAUUCCUCCGUCAUGUCCUCAUCUGUGAAAGCAACUGUCAUUGCUCAGCACUCUGCCUUGCAGUCCUCUUGUCUGCAGAGAUGUGCAGCUGGAAGGGCUCACUCGGGGCUUCCCCAGGCAGCUCCUGUGCUGCCACUGAUCGGAUGCUUCCCACAAAUGAGGGCUUCCUUCCCUGGUGCAAUGAGUGUUUACCCGCAGUGCUGAUAUCGGCUCAGUCUGUUACUGCAGGAUCAAAACCAGAACUGCACAGCCCCUGAUAAAAAGGCCAGAUGUGCUGCUGUAAUUAAUGCAAUUUGCUCAACACUGCAACAAUUAAGUGCAACGCGAUAGCUCAGUAAUCUUCGGGGCUAGGAAGUGCCAUCCCCAAGGCAACCUCAGCUGCUCCAGCUUUCCUUUCUGCUCUGCCUUUUUCAUAAAUUUAGAAACAUAAAGGAUUUACUGAGGAGCCACGACAUCAAGUAAAAGGAAGAGAACAAACACAACGGGAGGGUGAGGUGCACCUGAGGUGGUUUGGCACCCAAGGCACAGGCACACCCUCAUCAGUAGGUCCUCCAUCAUCUGUCUCUGCUCGGGAUCCACCCAACCCAAACUUUUGCUAUUGAGACCAAGGCUCAUGGGCCUUUCUGCAUUCAGUUCUUUGCUUGGUGACAUUGCUCACUCUCAUGUUCUUGCUCCAAAGCCAAGCUCCCAUUUGCCUCCCUCCCUUCAUGGACCAAUGUCAUCGGGUGAGGUCAUCUCAGAUCUGUUCACAAGCUGUGAAGAGGAUGUAUUUAUAUUCCUCAGAACUUCUGUUUGGAUCAUACGAGAAACAGAAAAGCUCCAAAGUUUCUCUUUUAGACACAAAUCCCUCAGGAUUUUGUCGCUUAAAAACUGGGAGAAGUAAAAAAAGAAAGACAGUAAUGAGGGAAAAGUGAAGAAGUUUUGUUAAAAGCCUACAGGUUUUCAUGGAAAAUAAAGUGAUGAGAAAUGAGAGGUGUUUGAUAGAU
rnacentral:lncRNA from 1 species